CGCAGGGUCGAAAUACAUGAAUAUAAACCAGCGAUUUGCAGACUUUUUCCUUUUCGAAGCCUUCUGCGUGCUGGAUACUGUUUGGCAUCGCAUGCGUCUUGAAGUGAGUGCUGUGUCGUUUUUGUUGCUCUCCCUCAGGAAUAAAAGGUCGUGGAAGCCCUGCUGCUGUGAUUUAGAGCCAGAUGAGAGAGGAGGACGCAGGAGGCCCUGGAUGAAGGAAUGCUUCCACCCUUCCUGAUGUUAACUGCCCCACUGGGAGGAACACCAGCAGGGACCUCUAAGGAUGCGACACUGCAGAGCUUUCACUCAAAACCCCCACGUCAGGUCAUACUUUUUAGAGGUGCUCUAAAUCAGUGGCGCACAACCUCCGAGUCAUUCGUGUGCAAAAUAUAAAAAAUGUUUUGAAUUUGGAAAAAUGGCGGCAUCCUCUCCCAAUUACAUGUGCUUGGUCCUGUUUUUGGUCUGACGCUUUACUGCUUGGUUGUACAAUGUUUUCAUUAUAAUCCUACAAACAACGUAACAGCUUUUGCCUGGUCAGCGUCAGCCAGAACUAUUGCUGUUUGCUUGGGG
ensembl:lncRNA